CGUUGUCAUUGCACUGAAACCUGAGGCCUUUGUCUGGUUUAGUUUUGUUGGUAUCCAAAGACAUGAAGUCAUCCAUAAAUUGUACUCACUGAAACCCAAAAAAAAUCAAGAAAAAAAAAAUUAUAAACAAAAGAAUUAGAUUACAAGAUCCCAUGACAAAUAAUAUAUAUAUAUAUAUAUAUAUUCGCUAAUUGCUCCACACACAAACACCAAAGCGUUGGCUUGCAUUUGCGGCAUAAAUAGAGAAGAUUUGUUUGUUUGUUUGUUUCUCUAACCUUCAUGGAACUUUCACUUUUGUUUUCUAGGCAAUUUUUGGUUGUUUGUUUUUGAAAGAAAGGGAGAGAGAAAAAGAGAGAGGCUGACAAUUUGUUUGGUGGGUUAUGUCAGAGGCUCUGAAAAGCAAACGUGCCUUGCGUAAUAAUAAAAAUAAAUAGCCAAAAAGAUUUAAAAAAAAAAGAAAAGAAAAAGGUUACUUAAAAAAAAAAAAAUUGUAAAAGGAGGAGGACGAUAAAGUAAAAAUAAAGACAAGACAAAAUUGCUUGGUAACAUGAUAGCCGAGUUCCCGGAAAGUCAAUAAAGUACCCUUUAAAAGUUUCAGCUGAUCAAACUUCACAGAGACAAAUAUACCCCAUUCAGAGACCCUUAUUUUAACUUGUGUAAGAAACAUAAACCACUCCUUUCCCAAAAAAGAUAAAAAAAAAAAAACCAUAAACCAUUUUCCUAUCCUCUCUAUCAAAGAUUUGCGGCGGGCUUGGUAAUAUACAGUCCGGUUCGGUUUAGGUUGAGAAUCGAACCGAAAUCAAAACUGAAGUUUAAAAUAGAACCAAAAAUUUCAGUUCGGUUCAAAUUGGUUUUGUUUUAUUUAGUUCCACCUGUAUUAAAUUUAAACUACAAACACAAUAUUGCAUAGUAAAACAAAUAUAGUAAUGCCAACUUAUACAACAGUUUAUUCAACAAUCACCCAAUAAGUUAAACAAUCUUGAUUCAUUCAACAAUUUUAUUCAGAAAAUACCCAACAAAUCCAGUAAUCCCAGCUCACAAAAUAAAUAUAAUUAAGGAAAAAAAUAAUUCAAGGAACAACAAAUGAAUAUAUAAAAAGGCAAAUAUUGCUCAACGCAAGUUACACAACUCACAACACGACGGCAACGGCAGGCUGGUGCCGACACAACCGACAACAAGUGGGAGGCGAGGCUACGAAUAAUGAAAGGCAAGGCUGCAACGACACUAGUGCGACAGGCUAGCUGAGGCGAUGAUGAUGAUGAUGAUGAUGAUAGCGAGAUGAACGGCAGAAGGGAUGGCUGACGAGUAACAGUGGUGGAUACUGUGUGUCACUACCCGCGCGAGUGGGAGUAUGAAAGAGAGAGAGUGAGAUGUGAUUGCUUAGAUUUAGAUUUUAAUUUUUAGAUUUUAAUUUUUAGUUUACUUGUUUAUGUUUUUAAUUUGAAAGAAAGAUUUUUAAUUUUAUUGAAAGAACUAAUCGGUUUAUGGGUUCAGAUUGAUAUUGAGCCGAAUCGAAUACAAACUAAUUGGAAUUUUAAAUUAUGAUUUGUUUGAUUUUUGUCCUUAUAAUCAAAUAGAACCGAG
rnacentral:lncRNA from 1 species